rnacentral:rRNA from 1 species
UCUUAGGGUGUUAAAGCCCCGAGAAGCCGCAGUGAAUAGGCCCAGGCGACUGUUUAGCAAAAACACAGGUCUCUGCGAAGCCGUAAGGCGAAGUAUAGGGGCUGACGCCUGCCCGGUGCUGGAAGGUUAAGAGGAGCGCUUAGCGUAAGCGAAGGUGCGAAUUGAAGCCCCAGUAAACGGCGGCCGUAACUAUAACGGUCCUAAGGUAGCGAAAUUCCUUGUCGGGUAAGUUCCGACCCGCACGAAAGGCGCAACGAUCUGGGCACUGUCUCAACGAGAGACUCGGUGAAAUUAUAGUACCUGUGAAGAUGCAGGUUACCCGCGACAGGACGGAAAGACCCCGUGGAGCUUUACUGCAGCCUGAUAUUGAAUGUUGGUACAGCUUGUACAGGAUAGGUAGGAGCCUUGGAAACCGGAGCGCUAGCUUCGGUGGAGGCAUCGGUGGGAUACUACCCUGGCUGUAUUGACCUUCUAACCCGCUGCCCUUAUCGGGCAGGGAGACAGUGUCAGGUGGGCAGUUUGACUGGGGCGGUCGCCUCCUAAAAUGUAACGGAGGCGCCCAAAGGUUCCCUCAGAAUGGUUGGAAAUCAUUCGCAGAGUGUAAAGGC